CACGUAGGGCGCGAGCGUUGUCCGGAAUUAUUGGGCGUAAAGCGCUCGUAGGCGGCCUGUUGCGUCCGCUGUGAAAGCCCGGGGCUUAACCCCGGGUCUGCAGUGGAUACGGGCAGGCUAGAGGUAGGUAGGGGAGAAUGGAAUUCCCGGUGUAGCGGUGAAAUGCGCAGAUAUCGAGAGGAACACCGGUGGCGAAGGCGGUUCUCUGGGCCUUACCUGACGCUGAGGAGCGAAAGCGUGGGGAGCGAACAGG
rnacentral:rRNA from 1 species